rnacentral:rRNA from 1 species
CGGAGGAUCCAAGCGUUAUCCGGAUUUAUUGGGUUUAAAGGGUGCGUAGGUGGCUUAUUAAGUCAGGGGUGAAAGACGGCAGCUUAACUGUCGCAGUGCCUUUGAUACUGAUGAACUUGAAUUAACUAGAGGUAGGCGGAAUGUGACAAGUAGCGGUGAAAUGCAUAGAUAUGUCACAGAACACCAAUUGCGAAGGCAGCUUACUAUGGUUAUAUUGACACUGAGGCACGAAAGCGUGGGGAUCAAACAGGAUUAGAUACCCUGGUAGUCCACGCCCUAAACGAUGAAUACUCGAUGUUGGCGAUAUACGGUCAGCGUCUAAGCGAAAGCGUUAAGUAUUCCACCUGGGGAGUACGCCCGCAAGGGUG